CAGUGCAGUCACCCAUAAAGUAGAAAGCACUACUAACAGCACUGGAGGGUGUAGUGUUUCCUACUUUAUGGAUGAGUGUACUGU
rfam:Cavia porcellus supercont2_53 genomic scaffold, whole genome shotgun sequence.